UACGGAGGGUGCUAGCGUUGUUCGGAAUCACUGGGCGUAAAGCGCGUGUAGGCGGCCCACUAAGUCUGAUGUGAAAGCCCACGGCUCAACCGUGGAGGGUCAUUGGAAACUGGAGAACUUGAGUACAGAAGAGGAAAGCGGAAUUCCACCGUGGUAGCGGUGAAAUGCGUAGAGAUGUGGAGGAACACCAGUGGCGAAGGCGGCUUUCUGGUCUGUAACUGACGCUGAGGCGCGAAAGCGUGGGGAGCAAACAGG
rnacentral:rRNA from 1 species